CCCUUAGAUGUUCUGGGCCGCACGCGCGCUACACUGACGAUGUCAGAGAGUGUCUCCUUCACCGAGAGGUGUGGGUAAUCUUUUAAACAUCGUCGUGCUGGGGAUAGAUCAUUGCAAUUUUUGAUCUUAAACGAGGAAUUCCUAGUAAGCGCGAGUCAUCAGCUCGCGCUGAUUACGUCCCUGCCCUUUGUACACACCGCCCGUCGCUACUACCGAUUGAAUGGUUUAGUGAGGCCUUCUGACUGACGCCGCUACUCUGGCAACAGAGCGGCGGAUGCCGGGAAGUUGGUCAAACUUGAUCAUUUAGAGGAAGUAAAAGUCGUAACA
rnacentral:rRNA from 1 species